rnacentral:rRNA from 1 species
AUUGAACGCUGGCGGCAGGCUUAACACAUGCAAGUCGAGCGGGGUGAUGGUGCUUGCACUAUCACUUAGCGGCGGACGGGUGAGUAAUGCUUAGGAAUCUGCCUAUUAGUGGGGGACAACAUCUCGAAAGGGAUGCUAAUACCGCAUACGUCCUACGGGAGAAAGCAGGGGAUCACUUGUGACCUUGCGCUAAUAGAUGAGCCUAAGUCGGAUUAGCUAGUUGGUGGGGUAAAGGCCUACCAAGGCGACGAUCUGUAGCGGGUCUGAGAGGAUGAUCCGGCACACUGGGACUGAGACACGGCCCAGACUCCUACGGGAGGCAGCAGUGGGGAAUAUUGGACAAUGGGGGGAACCCUGAUCCAGCCAUGCCGCGUGUGUGAAGAAGGCCUUAUGGUUGUAAAGCACUUUAAGCGGGGAGGAGGCUACUUUAGUUAAUACCUAGAGAUAGUGGACGUUACUCGCAGAAUAAGCACCGGCUAACUCUGUGCCAGCCGCCGCGGUAA